CAUUAAAGAGUUCUAUAACUCCCAAACCCAUGUGAACAUACCUAGCGUUGCCUCGGCAGGUCGCACCUACCUUGUAGCACCCUACCCUGUAGGGCCUACCCGGGAGGUGCGGGUAAGCCUGCCGGCGGCCCACCAAACUCUGUUUGAUAUUGAAUUCUGAACCUAUAACUAAAUAAGUUAAAACUUUCAACAACGGAUCUCUUGGUUCUGGCAUCGAUGAAGAACGCAGCGAAAUGCGAUAAGUAAUGUGAAUUGCAGAAUUCAGUGAAUCAUCGAAUCUUUGAACGCAUAUUGCGCCCAUUAGUAUUCUAGUGGGCAGGACCGUUCGAGCGUCAUUUCAACCCUUAAGCCUUCGUUGCUUAGUGUUGGGAGCCUACGGCAACGUAGCUCCUCAAAGUUAGUGGCGGAGUUGGUUCACACUCUAGACGUAGUAAUUUUUUAUCUCGCCUAUUAGUUGGACUAAUCCCCUGCCGUAAAACCCCCAAUUUAUCAAGGUUGACCUCGAAUCGGUUCAGACAAACUCGCUAAAUUGAAGCAUCUUAGUCAGCGAAGGAAAAGAAACCAACAGGGAUUGCCCUAGUAACGGCGAGUGAAGCGGCAACAGCUCAAAUUUGAAAUCUGGCCCUCGGGUCCGAGUUGUAAUUUGUAGAGGAUGCUUUUGGCGCGGUGCCUUCCGAGUUCCCUGGAACGGGACGCCUUAGAGGGUGAGAGCCCCGUACGGUUGGACACC
rnacentral:rRNA from 1 species